rnacentral:lncRNA from 1 species
AGGGAAAAGGCAUCAUUUCCACCCCAUACUAUACAAGAAAAGUCUAAGCCACACCUAAAUUAUAUAAGUGACCUAUUACACACCUUAACUAUAUAAAAGUGAUAUUAUUACCUCCCCGCGACCCCCAUUCUAAGGCGCGUGUGUUACACUGAUUUUAGGCGCGUCCAGCCUAUUAAAUAACAAAAGUAAACAGCUAAAAACAUUAAGGGAAAAGGCAUCGUUUCCACCCCAAACUAUAGUCGAAAAGUCGAAUCCACACCUAAACUAUAUAAGUGACCUAUUACACACCUUAACUAUAAAAAAAUGAUACUUUUUACUGACGUGGUGCUGACGUGGCAGCGCGUGUAAAACACUACACCACAUGCAAGUGGUAGUAGCCUGACA